AACCGUCCUUUUUUCCCCCAAAUCAUUUCAGAUUUCCCCCAAAUCAAUUUUCCUCCUCUCAAGUCCUCUCCCUCCUCUAACAGCUAUUCUCUUCUUCUCUUCAAGUUAUUCUCUUCUUCUCGUCCUCGAUAUGCCGCUAAUGUUCCCCUGCUUUAUCCCAAGCUCGCCGGCGGCGGCCAGUGGAGUCCGGGGAGAUUCGCCUCUUUCCUAGAUCCAGAUCUCGUUUGCAGCAACUGGAAUUUCGUUUGUUGUAAUCAAAGUAGGAAACACAAAUCCGAGGGUAAACAGCGUGGCGUCCGCUUAGAAAUAAAGCUAUACUAUACCCAUCGUAUAUAAACAAACUACCGGCCGCUCCCCCUUUUGAAUUCGACUACAUCGCUGCCUUUCUCUCUGAAGCUCACUCUGGUCUUGCGGAGUACAGAAGAAACAAGCAACUAGAAAUAAGCAAUCGAAUCAAUUCAUAUCAAAUGGUAAGUCUUACAAUCUCGUUACUCUCUGUUUGUACAUACUAGUUGUAGAAAUUAUACCGUCUAUCUUAGGCUUUCUUUACUGUGUUUGUUUCUUCCAUUAUUGUCAUAAUGUCUCAUUGUCAUGCCUAUGGGUUUUAUUAGGUUCUAGGGUUUUGAACUCAUUAUUUUGCAAUCUAUUGUUUGUGUGGGAAACAGUUCCUUUAUAUGCUGAAGAUAUAUGAUACCAGUGGAUAGCUAGGGUUUAUUUUAUAUGUCCUGUUCAAGCUCUAGAUAUUGUUUUCAAUGUACUUUUUUCU
rnacentral:lncRNA from 1 species